rnacentral:antisense_RNA from 1 species
ACUGUGAAGUCACAAGAGGCCCUGAGCUCUGUGGGCCCCAGGAGCCCCGGGAAAACCUGGGGGAGAAUGGGCAUCCCACCCCAGCACUUUCUAGGAAGAAGGGCAACAUUUUGAAGGGCUGGAAGUAGAGAAAGAAGGUUGCGGGUAGAAGACUCCAUACUUUCUGUGACGCCUAUUCCUUAGCUUGUGAUGAAUGUUUUCUCAGUAUCCUAUGCUGAAAACAGGUAGAUACUAAUCCCUCCUUCAAGGGAGGGCUGUUGAGUAUUGAAUAAGAUAAAAACAUGGAAGCAAUCAGCACAAUGCUGGAGAGCUUUUAUAUAACCAAAGAUAUUUUUGGACCAUGAAUUCGGAAAUUCUCGGAGCCACCCAUCAAUGCCUGAGCUUCAGUGAGUCCAUAUCCCAUGUCACCUACGGCAAAGGAGAAUCUGAGACUUCUGAAGAGUUUCUUGCUUCUUUCCUGUGGGGCAGUGACUCCACUUCCCAGCAGUAAUGGAAUAUCCUGAAUUAGCUACAUUAAUGUUAGAACCAUUUGGACCUCACCCAGGACUUCAACUACAUUGUGAGUAACUCCUGGACGACUGGCACAGAAGAAGGCACAAGGCAAAUACCCAUCUCUGUACACCCUGUGCUACUGUGUCAUGUGCUGCUCCAGGCAACUCCAAUGGAUUGGCCACCCUGGCCAAUGUGUUCUAGUAUGUUAGGUUUAUGUUCCCCUGCUUUCUACAAUCCUGUUCAAAGAGUUGCUGACUUAACCACAGAGAGAAUUCCAGAACAUGAGACACAGAAUAAACUUGAACAAUCAUAGUCCAUCCACUUCAUUUUCUCAUCGAAAACCAAAGGUCCAGUGAGGCUCUGGAACUCGACGCUGUAAAGGAGCGAAGGAGCAUCUAUACAGA